GUUGGGACCAGCCAUUUCCACCUGGUUCCUUGCGAGUGAUGGUCAGCAAAGUGCUUCGACCCUCCACAGCCCCUGAUGGCCUGGAAAGCCAUGUUAAAAUAGAACGGGGGGCCUUCCUGAAGGUCAGAGCCAGAGAAGGAAAGGAGUGAGGCAGCCAAGGUGAAGUGACAGACUGUAAAGUUUCCAAUUCAGGCCAUUCCAGGCUAAUUAAGUGGCACCAGCCCAUCUGUGAUUUACCUCAUGAAAGUAUACACAUUGCAAUGAUAAUAAUUGUGUCUUUCACCACUAAAGAAAAUUUGAAAAGCUCUGGGGAAGGCUCUGAUGGGCCCGGCUCGGGACCACGUGUGUCAUCGAUUUCCCUGCUGGGGUGUGCGUGAGCCUCUCCAGCUCUGCGCCGGCUUCCCUGUCUUGCCUCCAAGUGUUCUGUGGCUCCUGGCUGGUGCCUUGGAGCUCCAGGGGCCUCCCUCUGGGCUCUUCUGCCCUCUCUCCUGCAGACUUCUUCCAGGGCAAACACUUCUUCCUGUACGGGGAGUUCCCUGGGGAGGAGCGGCGGAAGCUCAGCCGAUAUGUCACAGCCUUCAGUGGCGAGCUUGAGGACUAUAUGAGCGACCGGGUCCAGUUUGUGAUCACAGCACAAGAGUGGGACCCCAGCUUUGAGGAGGCCUUGAUGGACAACCCCUCCCUGGUGUUUGUCCGCCCACGAUGGAUCUACAGUUGCAACGAGAAGCAGAAGUUACUUCCCCACCAGCUCUAUGGGGUGGUGCCCCAGGCCUGAGGGGUAUGCUUACCACCUGUGUGCACACACCGUGCAGGAAGAGUUUAAUAAAGGUGACUUGGUUUGGAGCAGCUGCCCCUGCCACUCAGGAGCUCCCAGAACCUCCAAAUGGCUUUUUCA